UGGUAAGGCUCGUGGGAGACUACCACGUAGAUAGGCCGGAGGUGUAAGUAUGGUGACAUACUCAGCUGACCGGUACUAAUCGGCCGAAAGCUUGGUCA
rnacentral:rRNA from 1 species